UUAUGUGUUUAAAUAAGAUGUAUAAAUAACUUUUAAUGAAAAAAAAACUUGUUAAAUAUUAAAAAAAAAAAUUAACAUUAUUUUUCAAUAGCUUAAACUUUUAGAGUACAAUGAUUGUUUCAUGUGGUAUUAGAAUAGGAGGUCCUGAGUUUGAGUCACGCCAGACUCUCUAAAAUUAUUAAUUUUCUCCCAUUUAAUUCAAGUUCACAUCAUAUGCCUUGCAAAAAGUCUCUAGUCUAGACUUGAAGGAAACUUAAGUUUUUAGAGUACAACAGUUAUUUUUCAAAAAUUAAUUAGAAAGCUCCCCGACGCAUCGUUAAGGAGUCUCCGACGCAUCGUUAAGGAGUCUCAGUUCGUCGUUACGUUUCACUUUUAUUUCUAUUCAAAUAUUAUAAUCCUUCAUUCUAUAGUUUUUUCUAAGUAUUGUAAAAUACCAAGGAACCAUUCCAUCCAACAUCUUUACACAUUCAAAUGAGAUUUAUUGCUUUUAUAAUCUCUGAAAUUAUUCACCUUUGAUUUGUGUGUUCAAGUGAAAUUUGUUGUUUAUAUUAUUUUUGCAAAUUAUCCAACUCUAUUUUCAAAUUAUACAAUUCUUUAGGACAAUUAAUUUAUUAUUAUUAAAGAAAAAGGCAAUUGUUUAUAUAUUUCUAAAAAAUUUCUGACUUUCUAAUUUACCACUCAGACUUUCUGAUUUAUCCCUCUUAGAAAGCUAAUAUUGAAAAUACUUUUUUUACAUUCCAAUCUAUUUCAAAUAUAUAUCUGUAGUUAAAAUAGCUAUUGGUAUUUCUAUAAAAUUACUAUUUUGCCUUUUCAAAUAUACUCUUCUAUCAUCACCGACUUUUCUUAUUUGCCUUAAGUUAAGACACAAAAAGUAUUUUAUUUUUUGGUCUUUUCAAAUAUACCCUUCUAUCAUCGUCAAUAUUUCUUAUUUGUCCUUAAGUUGGAAGACAAAGAGACAUUUUGAUUUUUUUAACUCUGAUAGAUAUUUAACUCAAGUUAACUUAAUAGAUAGUAACUGCAGGAUAUUUUGGAAUAACGGAGGAAUAUAUAAGAAGUAUAUUAAAAAAUAAAUAAAUAAAUAAAUAAAAUAUUUAGGCAAUUAUCCAUAAAAAAAAAAAACCCUCGUCAGUUU
rnacentral:lncRNA from 1 species